rnacentral:rRNA from 1 species
GACGAACGCUGGCGGCGUGCUUAACACAUGCAAGUCGAACGCUGAAGACCUGGCUUUUGUUGGGUUGGAUGAGUGGCGAACGGGUGAGUAACACGUGAGUAACCUGCCCUCUUCUUUGGGAUAACGCCCGGAAACGGGUGCUAAUACUGGAUAUUCACUGAUCUUCGCAUGGGGGUUGGUGGAAAGGUUUGUUCUGGUGGGGGAUGGGCUCGCGGCCUAUCAGCUUGUUGGUGGGGUGAUGGCCUACCAAGGCUUUGACGGGUAGCCGGCCUGAGAGGGUGACCGGUCACAUUGGGACUGAGAUACGGCCCAGACUCCUACGGGAGGCAGCAGUGGGGCAUAUUGCACAAUGGGCGAAAGCCUGAUGCAGCGACGCCGCGUGAGGGAUGGAGGCCUUCGGGUUGUAAACCUCUUUCGCUCAUGGUCAAGCCGCAACUGUGGGUUGUGGUGAGGGUAGUGGGUAAAGAAGCGCCGGCUAACUACGUG